GUGUUCACUUUGACAGCACAUAUACAAAAAUUGGAACUAUACAGAGAAGAUUAGCAUGGCCCCUGUGCAGGAUGACAUACAAAUUUGUGAAGCAUUCCACAUUUUU
ensembl:snRNA U6 U6 spliceosomal RNA